rnacentral:rRNA from 1 species
UACGAAGGGUGCAAGCGUUACUCGGAAUUACUGGGCGUAAAGCGUGCGUAGGUGGUUCGUUAAGUCUGAUGUGAAAGCCCUGGGCUCAACCUGGGAAUGGCAUUGGAAACUGGCGACCUAGAGUGCGGUAGAGGGUAGUGGAAUUCCCGGUGUAGCAGUGAAAUGCGUAGAGAUCGGGGAGGAACAUCUGUGGCGAAGGCGACUGCCUGGACCAGCACUGACACUGAGGCACGAAAGCGUGGGGAGCAAACAGG